rnacentral:rRNA from 1 species
UGGUUUAAUUCGAAGCAACGCGAAGAACCUUACCAGGUCUUGACAUCCCGAUAGCUAUUUCUAGAGAUAGAAAGUUACUUCGGUACAUCGGUGACAGGUGGUGCAUGGUUGUCGUCAGCUCGUGUCGUGAGAUGUUGGGUUAAGUCCCGCAACGAGCGCAACCCCUAUUGUUAGUUGCCAUCAUUCAGUUGGGCACUCUAGCGAGACUGCCGGUAAUAAACCGGA